UCUACCUCCUACCCUACCCUUCAUUCAUUAGAAUAUUAGGUGCCCGGUUGAAUUCUUGAAUAUUUGAAAGUAGUUUUUAUAAUUUCUUUUAUAUACAUUUACAUUUACAAUUUUUAGUGCAAAAAUCACAGCUAAUCUUUAUUGACGUUCUUUAAAUUUGUAAAUAUUCUCGAUAUUUUGUAUCUUUUGACAUCUGUCAAGUUAGGAGGGCGUAUUCGUAUUCAUUGCCAAGGAAUUUUCUUGGAGGAUCACGAUCAGUGAAAUUGUUCGGAAAAUCGGUUUUUCUGUACUUGAAGUGCCUUGUUUAGAAAUCUUAAGUGCUAAAAUCGACAUUCUAGACGUUAUCAUUAGAACUAGCCGUUAGAGGCUACACACGUGACUUAUUAUUUUAGGUAAGUCUGUUCAGAUUGUAUUAAAUUUUAUACGAUUAUGUACCUAUUUCAUAUAACUUUCAACUGUUUCAAAUUACGUACAGAUUAUCUUACUUUCAACUGAAAAAACUACUCGCACAAAAAA
rnacentral:lncRNA from 1 species